rnacentral:misc_RNA from 1 species
CGCAUCUUGCGCUCCUUGGCAUUCCAUGGAGCAUGCCUGUUUGAGUGUCACGUCAACACCUCACCCUUGCGAUGUCACAAUUGCACGUGGUGGACUUGGACCGUGCCGUGAUGUGGCUCGUCCGAAAUGCAUUAGCUGGUGCCUCUCAGAGCGCUUGGCAAUCGGUGUGAUAAUUAUCUGCGCCGUCACAUGCCAUUAGGCCUCUUUGCUGCCGCGCCGCUUACAGUCGUCCCCAGCGGACAACUUUUAAAGCUCUGGCCUCAAAUCAGGUAGGACUACCCGCUGAACUUAA